ACUCAGUCUCGUAAUUUGUUUGGU
rnacentral:siRNA from 1 species